GACGAACGCUGGCGGCGUGCUUAACACAUGCAAGUCGAACGAUGAAGAAAAGAAUCGAAGCUUCGGCAGAAAUUCAUUUCGGAUUAGUGGCAGACGGGUGAGUAACGCGUGAGCAACCUACCUCUUACAAAGGGAUAGCCUCGGGAAACCGGGAUUAAUACCAUAUAACAUUGCGACGAAGCAUUUCGAUGCAAUCAAAGCUACGGCGGUAAGAGAUGGGCUCGCGUCCCAUUAACCGGAUGGUGAGGUAACGGCUCACCAUAGUGACGAUGGGUAACCGGCCUGGGAGGGUGAACGGUCACACUGGAACUGAGACACGGUCCAGACUCCUACGGGAGGCAGCAGUGGGGAAUAUUGCACAAUGGAGGGAACUCUGAUGCAGCGACGCCGCGUGAGUGAUGAAGGAAUUCGUUUCGUAAAACUCUGUUCUAUGGGAAGAAAAGGACUGUACCAUAGGAGAAAGCUCCGGCUAAAUACGU
rnacentral:rRNA from 1 species